GGGCCCGUAGCUCAGCUUGGUAGAGCAGCAGGCUCAUAACCGGCAGGGGAACGGCCAGGGGUUCAAGUCCCCUCGGGCCCACCA
rnacentral:tRNA from 1 species